GUAAGCCUCAGGCUGGGAACAUCUCACCUGGCUCUGGUGACACGUCGGCAGCUCCAGAUCAAAUCCACAUUGUAGAAGCAUGGAUUUUCACUGGCAUGCAGCGUAAGAACGCAAUGAGUGCUCUCUCCAGCCUGCACAAUUCCAGUUUGAGGAGGGCAUCCAUCUGAAUUUCAUAGACUGCACUGGUAGAACCUCCAUUAUACAAUUCAUAAAUCUAGAGAAGAGAGAAACCAGCUCCAUAU